UACAGAGGGGGCAAGCGUUGUUCGGAAUUACUGGGCGUAAAGGGCGCGUAGGCGGCCUUCUAAGUCGAACGUGAAAUCCCCGGGCUCAACCCGGGAACUGCGUCCGAUACUGGAAGGCUUGAAUCCGGGAGAGGGAUGCGGAAUUCCCGGUGUAGUGGUGAUAUGCGUAGAUAUCGGGAGGAACACCAGUGGCGAAGGCGGCUCUCUGGGCCUCUCCUGACGCUGAGACGCGAAAGCGUGGGGAGCGAACCGG
rnacentral:rRNA from 1 species